rnacentral:rRNA from 1 species
CGGUUAAGUCCGCUAACGAGCGCAACCCUCGCUGUGUGUUAUACGUGGUCACACGGGACUGCCGGUUUAAGCCGGAGGAAGGUGGGGAUGACGUCAAGUCAGCAUGGCCUUUAUAUCCUGGGCUACACACACGCUACAAUGGUCGGUACAAUUGGUUGCCAAGCCGCGAGGCGGGAGCCAAUCCAAUAAAGCCGGCCUCAGUUCAGAUUGAGGUCUGCAACUCGGCCUCAUGAAGCUGGAAUCGCUAGUAAUCGCGUAACAGCAUGACGCGGUGAAUACGUUCCCGGGCCUU